rnacentral:rRNA from 1 species
UACAGAGGUCUCAAGCGUUGUUCGGAUUCAUUGGGCGUAAAGGGUGUGUAGGUGGCGCCGGUAAGUCGGGUGUGAAAUUUCGGAGCUUAACUCCGAAACUGCAUUCGAUACUGCGGUGCUUGAGGACUGGAGAGGAGACUGGAAUUCAUGGUGUAGCAGUGAAAUGCGUAGAGAUCAUGAGGAAGACCAGUGGCGAAGGCGG